GGGGGGGCCCGCUCCAGUCAUACUUCAAUGAUUCCCUAUUUAAUCAACCAAAUUUUUCCCACGAAAGGGGGGACCCGUGCCCCUGGAUCCGCCUAUGCCCACUGACUGACUAAGAGGGGGACCGCUCCGGUCACAGGGGCUUGUUUAGUGGAUCAGGCAAGGUUUUACUGUCAAUGGCCCAAUCGCUAUCCUAUAUAAAAUACCAAUAUAUUACUCCUAUAUAAAAUACCGAGAUGACAGUAAAACCUCGUCUGACCCACUAAACA
rnacentral:lncRNA from 1 species